AGAGUUUGAUCCUGGCUCAGGAUGAACGCUAGCGGCAGGCCUAAUACAUGCAAGUCGAACGAGAACCGUUCCUUCGGGAGCGGGGACAGUGGCGCACGGGUGCGUAACGCGUAUGCAAUCUACCUUUAUCAGGGGAAUAACCCGGCGAAAGUCGGGCUAAUACCGCAUAACAUAAUUGAGUGGCAUCAUUUAAUUAUCAAACAUUUAUGGGAUAAAGAUGAGCAUGCGUGACAUUAGCUAGUUGGUGGGGUAAAGGCCCACCAAGGCGAUGAUGUCUAGGGGAUCUGAGAGGAUGACCCCCCACACUGGUACUGAGACACGGACCAGACUCCUACGGGAGGCAGCAGUAAGGAAUAUUGGUCAAUGGAGGGAACUCUGAACCAGCCAUGCCGCGUGCAGGAAGACGGCCCUACGGGUUGUAAACUGCUUUUGUACCGGAAUAAACUCCUCUACGUGUAGAGGGCU
rnacentral:rRNA from 1 species